rnacentral:rRNA from 1 species
UACGUAGGGCGCAAGCGUUAUCCGGAAUUAUUGGGCGUAAAGAGCUCGUAGGCGGUUUGUCGCGUCUGCCGUGAAAGUCCGGGGCUCAACUCCGGAUCUGCGGUGGGUACGGGCAGACUAGAGUGAUGUAGGGGAGACUGGAAUUCCUGGUGUAGCGGUGAAAUGCGCAGAUAUCAGGAGGAACACCCGUGGCGAAAGCGGCUCUCUGGGACGGUACUGACGCUGAGACGCGAAAGCGUGGGGAGCGAACAGG